rnacentral:lncRNA from 1 species
GAAACUGCAUAGCAGCAUGUUUGAAGGUGGCCUGUCAAAUUUGGGAAACUGACGGUGUGACUGAGCUAGUCACAGGGGUCUUCACAGAAAAGGCAGUCGGGGUCCUGGUCAACUGGAGAUUCCAUCUGAAUGAGUGAAGUCAUUAAGACUAGAGCUCCAGGCUUCUUCAUCCAACUCCAAGGGUUCCCAGCAACAUGUGAAGUCCUCUAUCUGUCACUAAGAAGCCGUGUGAGUGAAGCAGGCUAUAUACCUUGGUUUCAACAUCUGUGAACAAGCAAUGGAUGGAUGACUCACCUCUCAUAGGAAUGAUAGAACUUGGAUCAUCUUGUCAAUCACAGAGCUUGGUGGCCUUCUACAAAUGUUUGUGGAAUGAAUAAGUGAGAGAAUGAGAGAUUAAUAAAGCCAAUACUAUCACCAGUCCAACGAAGAGCUGCAACUGAAAAAAAAGUCUGACAAAAAAUGGCUAGUUCAAGUAGCAGUUUAUCCCAGACACGCAUCCGUGGAUAGGAGGGAGCUACACGCUUUCCUGAUAAUCUGGUUUCAUAUGAAGACAAAGGUUAAAGUAGGACAGACGAGUGAUACUCUACCAAAGAUUUUGAGUAUUCUUAACAUUCCCAUUUUUCCACUAAGAGCAGGACAAAGGCAGCCCACAUAGAACCAAUUGGGUUCCAUUCAUCAAGCAAGGCAGGCAUGUGAGAUGUGGAACAGCAAGUAGACUUCAUGCUUCACUGCAACUCCAAUCAUUUGGAAGCAAAUAUCUAGACAUUUUGUAAGAAUUGUUCAUCUAAGCUCAGCAGGAACAAGUGCCUCUAUUGGUUAGCAAUGUUUACCACAUACAUGGAUGAGGAGUAGCAGAGGUCACUCAAGGUACU